AAUGAGGCCAGAGAACAACAUUAAUAAUAAUAUUUACUGUUACCAUUAUUAGCACACCUGAAAUUUUCCCUCCCUUUUUGCACAAGACCAGUAGCUUAUAGUCUCACUACUCUGAUUACAUUUUAGCUCUCCUUGCCUUUAGGGUGAGUCCUUCCCCAGGAACCUCUUGGGUCUUCAUACAAAUCAAUCUUACAGAACUUUCCAGAAGUCCCUCCUCCUAACAUCAAACUUAAGGUGGACAUAAGCCAAGUGUCUCUACUAGACACGUGCAGGAGCAUAUCACUGAGAUGAGGAAACCAAGUUCUUGCACAGAGAUGACUAAUAGAAGAGACCAGACUGUUCUCCCUCUCCCACAGGCUGCCUAUGGGGGCCAAUCAGUCUAUCACAGCCCAGAUGAGAGGAGAACUUGGACUUGGGGGGCAGGUUAGGUAGCGAUGAGGACGUAACAGGCACAAAAUGCUCAGGAACUAGACAUGCAUGAUGGUCUUAGAAAGGAAAUAAGAGGUUCUAAGAGGGAGACGCUGUGAAUGAAGAUGCUUUGGACCCAGAGUCUCAGAAGAUGGAGAAAGUGGCUGGGAGGAAGGGUAUUCAGGGGAAGAUGGAACCAGCGUGUCUUCCAGAAUGGAGUCACACAUUUGGAUGUUGGAAGAUGAUUUCUGAUUUAGAGGGAAAAUAGUAAUUUGGUUUUUAGACAGAUUGGGUUUGUGAUGGCAUGAGAAGUCCAAGUGGAACUUAGAGUCGCAAGAAGUCAGCCGCAGAGAGGUGAGGGCUGCGGUGACAAUCUGGAGGUGAUCCAUGUUGAGUCAAUAGUUCCAGACGGAGGAGGGAGAUGCUACAAUGCGAGCCAAAUACAGUGCCAACAGAAACUCCCCCAGUUAAACCAAGAAGACCAGAGAAGACCGAGAGAAGCACUUCAAGGAGAGAGAGAAGGCAGAAAUCAGAGGUAAUCAAGAACAUCGUGUGAGGUUACAAAGCCAAGGGAGGAGGGAGUUUAAGAAGGAGACGGUUUGCAGUAUUUGAUGCUGAUCAUGUUAUCUGAGCCCCUACCACGCGCUAGGUGUGUUUCGAGGAACUCUUCAUCAGUGAUCUCAGUUAAUUCUCGCAGCAACUCUAUGAGAGGGGUGCUAUUAUUAUCCUCAUUUUACAAAUGAGCUGAGACUCUGCGAAAUCGUACAACUUAUCAAGGCCGUAUGGCCAGUAAAAGGCAGAGCUGGUAUUCAAACCGUUGUCCUGGAACCCAGAGCUGGAUCUUGUGAGAUGAAGAGAAUGUGGAACAGGGGAUGUCUCAGUGUUCCGUGACCCUGGGUAGCUUAACAAAACAAAAUGGAGGUCUCUAUUCUGGAUGAGAAUUGAAGUUGAAAGAGAUGGGAAGCCUGGAUACCCUUCUGAUUAGGAGGCAAGGAGAGGCAGAGAGUCAGAGAGUCAAGAACUGGAAAACCCUUGCCCAUCAAAACUCAAGAUCUGGGGAAGAGAAAAGCAGGAAAGGGAGGAGAGAGAGGGGCUGCCUUCCCAGGGCGCUCACAGCUGUGUCUUCUGCUUUUAAUCAAUAUUGCUGGCUUUCAAGUCAAGGCAAAGAAGAUUGGCAGAUAAAGGGGACAGCGUCUGACCCCUCGGCUGCUUUGCUGGUUUGCAUGUGGAAGUGAAUCAGGGCAGAUGCUGUCUGCAGGCAAGCUGUAAGCUAGGACAGCACCCCCGGAGCUGUGGAGAUUGCCAACUCUGGGAAGCACGGAAGAAUCUGAAAGUGAAGGGACCCUGAGCCUCCUCUCCACCCUACUUCUCUCCAGCCUGUGGCACGGGCCUUCUUCCUGUCUCUGCAACUCAAGGGGCUCAUCCCAGCUGCAGGCCUUCAGGAGUCUCUCUGGCCGCACUGCUUCUCCCUAGUGGCACCAUAGCUGCCUCCCUUUGUUUCUAGAUCUCAGCUCAACUAUCAGCUCCUCAGAGAGGCCUUCUCUCUGUCCUGUUUUAUUAUUUUCAAAGCACUUACCCCCUAUCCAAAAGUUAUUUCAAGAAUUACUUAUUAGCUCAGAUAUCAGGUCCACCAGAGCCUGGCCUUGGGUGUCUUGCUCUCUUCAGCAUCCUUGACACCUAGGAAAGCACCAGGCUUUUAUUUAGUUUGCUCAGUAAAAGUAUGUCAAAUUGAAUUCAUUCGAAUUGAAGCUUCAACCCACGAAAAAUGACCGAAUGUUAGAAAAAGAUUUGUUUGUAAGUGAUUAAAAUUCAGUUACAAAUAAUUAUUUUUGUCCUUCAUCUUUCAAAAUGAUGGUCCAUCCUCCCCCUCAUCCUUUGCUUCGUUCCUUUCAUCUCACCAGCUACUACAUUUGGGAUGUUGGGAACAUCUGUAAACUCCCAAUGGUUAAAGGGAACCUAGGACUUUCAAAAGACGGUCAUAACUGAAGAUUGUACAAAACACGCUGUAAAAGGAAAAUCUCCAAAGGAGAUAAAGGGCAUCAGGAGUAGGGCGUCUCCUUUUUAUGAACAGUUCCUAGGUGGUGCCCGGCCAGCUGCUCCUCCCCUGUGAAAUAGGCCAGCGGGGAAACCUGCCCACGGCCUCGGUUAACCCUUCCCUGGCUCUCACCUCGACAAGAUGCUGGGAAAGAUCAGAAGAUUUCCAGCACUACUUGCUGACUGGAAGAAAACAGCAAAAGGGGGGGAAAAAAGACGGAUUCCAACGUUGCUCCCCACCCCCAAGCUUUCUUCUCCCAAAGAGCCUUCUGUUCAGAGAAAUUAAAGGACUCUGAUAGCAGAUCACAAAUUCAGGACAGAAAAGCUUCACUAUGCGGCCAGAGACUGUAUUGUGGGUAACCAGACGUUGGACACUUUUUUCGCUUAUGAACUUUUGGAGACCAUUCGAAUAAAAGACUAUUUGUUGCUAGGAACAAACACUCACCAGCAAAGAAGCCUUUAAGAGGAGGGGGAAUUUUGCGUUUUGCAUGUUUCUCUUGAAAAAGAGAGGGAGAGAGAAGAGACGGAGAAACAGACACAUGCUGUACUUACUUCUCAGAUAAAAGAACCUAGACUAAUUUGUUUACUAUUGCUGGGGAUUCAUGUUUACAAGUUCCUGUGCCAUUGUGGUAAAAAGAAAUGCUAUUUUUAAAAAGUAAAAACCCACACGAGCCUCCUAGGUAGGGUUCUUCUUCCCCUUCCUGCCUCCCCACUUUCAUUUUACAGAUGGCCGCGAAUAUACAAGCCAAGUCAAAGCUCACGGGGUCCCUGGGGGCUGCUUUGCUUUCCCCACCCAGACUGCCUUCAGAAACAGCCAU